AGAACCAACCAGCUUCUGCUUUUCUAUAUGCCUGUAAGCUAGAUAGAGACUUCUCAUUAAACUGAAUGAAAAUCUUUUGAGGUAGAGAUUUGCAGAUGAAUAGAUAGAAGUCAUUCUAGAUGCAGUCCUCUCUGACCAUACUUUUUGGUUAUAUUUUGAGUAAAGGGCUGCUUUAGCUCUUAACAUUUUGAAUUUUAAGUCUGUUAGUAUCUAGGGUUUAAUUUUAAGCAUGCAAAGAAACUAUUGGGCAGUAGAGGGAGUUGUAGUCCUAAAACUGCUUCAGCCCUGCUGGUGAAAAGAUGGAAGCUUUUUCAAGAGUAAGACCUCCCUGUAGCUUUCUUGGCACCAGAAUAGCUGGGAAGGAGGAUGAAAGCUGGAACAGUAUAAUCCCUAAGAAAACCUGCUGGCUGCUUUUUCCAUUUCCCUGGGCGGCCUUUCUGACCUGGCUGCCCUGUGUAAGCAGAGCCGUGCCUGCUGUGGCUUAGUCUGAAUGGAUCAAGACAUGGAAGCUUCUAUUUUUGACAGCAAAAAUGAUGAUAGUGAGAAAUAAGGUACAGGGAACUCUUACAAUUGAGCUCUGUAUUUAGAAAUCUGCUUGCUUUCCUGCUCUACUGGAGCCUGUGGUGUUUGCUUUUUAAGUUGUACUUUUCCAUAAUCUGUAGAUUCUUUCUUCCAACCAGAAUUUGUAUUGCAGGGGGUGUUGCUCUCUGCUUCAUUAAGAUUACUAAAAUAUGCUACUGGGAAACUGUUCUUGUCAGCAGCCCUUAGUAUGUGAGCAAUUAUUUUUCUGGAAUGGCUGUAGGUUUCUGAGGGGGUCUCUAACCACCCACUAACUCUCUUGUAAUGUUCUUGAAAAGGGAGUGGGAGGAGUGAGAAUCAGGCUGUAAAAGAAAAGUAAGUGCUGAUGUGGGCCUGAUGUUGUGUUAGCAGGUAGAGAAAAGGAAAAGCUUGAAAAUCCUAGGACUUUGUAUGGAUGUCAGCUCUUGCCAUGGCACACUUGUCAGCAGUUUCAGGAUUAGGAAAAGGAAUUAUCUGAUUUAGAUGAAGGUAUUAUGGGCCAUGAAGUGUCUCACAUUACCUUGAAGACACAGGAGUUUUUCCUUUACUAAUUUUUCCUUCUAAAACCAUAACCACCUACUUGUAGGAUUUUAUGAGGAGAUGCUUGGUAAAACCUUUAAGUCUAUUAGUAUCUAGGGUUUAAUUUUAACUGAAAAGCUAU
rnacentral:lncRNA from 1 species